GCUCACCCUUCACCCCAAGACAGCUUUGAUCACUGGGAAGUUUCCACAAACACAGAAUGAAUGAGGAAGAAGGUGAUUAUAUUUUCGGUGUGAUCCACGUGGACGAGAGGUGUUGCAUGUUUUUACAAAUUGAAGAUCUGUGACAACCCUGGGUCAAGCAAGUCUAUCAGUGCCAUUCUUCCAACAUAGGUGUAUAUGCUGGAGCAGCUGUACUUAAGUCCAGAAAUAAGAAGAUAUUUGAUCUGAGGACUCAGGAGAGAGCAUG
rnacentral:lncRNA from 1 species